GGGCUCGUAGCUCAACGGUUAGAGCAAGCGACUCAUAAUCGCUCGGUUGAAGGUUCGAAUCCUUCCGGGCCCACCG
rnacentral:tRNA from 1 species